rnacentral:snoRNA from 1 species
UUGCGAUGAUGACUUCUUAGGACACCUUUGGAAAUACCAUGAAAAAAAAUUCUAAACCCUGAGCAAU